AAGUCGAACGAGGGUCCUUCGGGACUCGAGUGGCGAACGGGUGAGUACCCGUAGGGAACCUGCCCGUGCGACCGGGAGAACUUUCGGAAACGUAAGCUGAUACCGGAUAGGGACAGAGACGGCAUCGACUCUGUGUUAAAGGAGCUGAAAGGCUCCGCGCACGGAUGGACCUGCGGUGCAUUAGCUGGUUGGUGAGGUAACGGCCCACCAAGGCGACGAUGCAUAGCCGGCCUGAGAGGGCGGACGGCCACACUGGGACUGAGACACGGCCCAGACUCCUACGGGAGGCAGCAGUAGGGAAUUUUCGUCAAUGGGCGCAAGCCUGAACGAGCAAUGCCGCGUGAACGAGGAAGGUCUUCGGAUCGUAAAGUUCUGUUGAAGGGGGAAAAGAGCGGAGAGAGGAAAUGGUCUCCGAUUGAUAUUACCCUUCGAGGAAGUCACGGCUAACUACGUGCCAGCAGCCGCGGUAAUACGUAGGUGGCGAGCGUUAUCCGGAAUGAUUGGGCGUAAAGGGUGCGUAGGCGGCCUGCUAAGUCUGGAGUGAAAGGUACCGGCUCAACCGGUACAGGCUCUGGAAACUGGCGGGCUAGAGAGCAGGAGAGGGCGGUGGAACUCCAUGUGUAGCGGUAAAAUGCGUAGAUAUAUGGAAGAACACCAGUGGCGAAGGCGGCCGCCUGGCCUGUUACUGACGCUGAGGCACGAAAGCGUGGGGAGCAAAUAGGAUUAGAUACCCUAGUAGUCCACGCCGUANACGAUGAGGACCAAGUGUUGGGGAAGACCCAGUGCUGCAGUNAACGCAGUGAGUCCUCCGCCUGGGGAGUAUGCACGCAAGUGUGAAACUCAAAGGAAUUGACGGGGGCCCGCACA
rnacentral:rRNA from 1 species